rnacentral:lncRNA from 1 species
GAAAAACAUGCUCUCUCUUCUCUAAUGAUUGGACAGACUCCUACUCCAAAACAGAAGAUCUCAACUCUGGAAGAGAACAGAUGCCUUCCACUGUGUGAGCGUAAAUUCAGAGCCUUCCAACUUGACAUUCUCAUCGACAAAUUAUUUAAACAUGACGGCUCUUUUAUAAAGAGUGUUAUCUUAAAAGGAAAGGAAUCAAAGGGCUGAACAUGUUGA